UCCUUCUGAAAAGCACUUGCUGAGCCUGUGUUUGUGGCUCAGUGAGAUGUCGUGGGAGGGUAUAGCAACAGGAGCACUUUUGGGUGAAGCGGCAGCCUGUGCUGUUAGCUUCAAUCAGUGGUCUGACAAAA
ensembl:snoRNA